GAUGAACGCUGGCGGCGUGCCUAAUACAUGCAAGUCGAGCGAACAGACGAGGAGCUUGCUCCUCUGACGUUAGCGGCGGACGGGUGAGUAACACGUGGAUAACCUACCUAUAAGACUGGGAUAACUUCGGGAAACCGGAGCUAAUACCGGAUAAUAUAUUGAACCGCAUGGUUCAAUAGUGAAAGACGGUUUUGCUGUCACUUAUAGAUGGAUCCGCGCCGCAUUAGCUAGUUGGUAAGGUAACGGCUUACCAAGGCGACGAUGCGUAGCCGACCUGAGAGGGGGAUCGGCCACACGGGAACGGAGACACGGUCCAGACUCCGACGGGAGGCAGAAGUAGGGAAUCGUCCGCAAUGGGCGAAAGCCUGACGGAGAAACGCCGCGUGAGGGAUGAAGGUCUUCGGAUCGUAAAACUCUGUUAUGAGGGAAGAAAAAAUGUGUAAGUAACUAGGCACGUCUUGACGGUACCUAAUAAGAAAGCCACGGCUAACUACGUG
rnacentral:rRNA from 1 species